rnacentral:lncRNA from 1 species
GCAACGGACGCGGGCAGGCGCGCGGAGGCGGGCAGCCAUUGGCUGCCUGGUGCAGCUACACCAAUAAUUGGCUGGCAGAGCGCCAACCGGCAAGGGUAGAGCAUACGCCGCGGAAAAGCUGCGGGGCGCGAAUGGCGCGGGACGCAAGGCGGCUGUUCGUGGAUGGCCACGGGACAGCACGCUCAUUGGAAACUGGUAAUCAGCCUAGGUGACGGAGACUCCAGGCCACAAUGGAGAAUGGCAGUUGUAUACCGAGGUGACCAGAUUCUGAGACUUCCCUGAUUGCCUUGAUUUACACUUGGACACCCAGUAAGUAUGCAGACAAAAAGUACCAAUCCUGCUGUCAGAGUCCCAGGAAAGGCACUGCUAAUCCAUGUCUGUUACAGUAAGGACUGAGCCUUAGGGACCCAUCAGCUGGGCCACGCAGAGUGGGGAUGAAGCUCAGAGUCUGAAACUGAACAGUGCCUCAGCUGCUGAGAGCAAGGCAGGCGUGUCUGUCAGCGACAAGCCUGAGCCUGCAUAGUGGAAGAGAUGCAAUGGAGAGAAAGUGGCUGUGGAGAGGACCUGCCAGAGUCUGGAGGGGGGACUGUGGCCUUCAUGGUAGAGUGGCCCUGUGGAUGAUCAGAAGUCCCUUUCCAUGUGUUCCUCACACACAGUUGGUACUCAGUAUAGAUCUUCUAGUAGAUGGCACCAGUGUCAUGUCCUCCCAAGUGAGGAACAUGCCAUAGGUAAAAUAGACCAUGGUGCAGGGUACACAGUGGUACAGGGUAGAUUGUGGUACAGGACAGACAGUGGGAUACUUGAUCUUCAUUAUUGAUAGUUUUGUUUGAGAUAGCAUCUGCUGUAUCCACAGCUGUCUUAGAGCUGCUAUAUACCUGAAGAUAAUCUUCAAUUUCAGAUCCUCUUGCCCUCCUGCCUCCAUGUCCCCACAGCGAAGAUUACAGGCCUAUGACAUCAUGCCUGCUUCAUGCAAUGUUGUACAUUGAACCCAGGGCUUCUGGCAUUCUAGGAAAACACUCUACCAACUGAGCUAUACGUACAGCACCAACCAUUUCUGCUGCCGUUAUGGUGUGUGCCCUCAAAUUAAGAACCAAAGCAAACCCUCCCUUAAGUUCUGCUUGUUGGGUACUAGUCACAGUGAUGAGUUUCAGUAAGUGAUUCGGAGACACCAGUUAUAAUAGUUCAUAAUUUGCAGUGCUUUAGAACAUAGAGAGGCAGUAUUCUUAGUGUUAUUGCUUCAGUGACCUAAGUACAAAAGCCAGUCAUGCUGGCCAUGGUGACUCACACAACCCAGCAUUUGGGAAUUUGAUGCAAGAAGGUUUAUUUUAUUUUAUCUUUUAAUUUUUUAAAAGAUUUUUUUUUUCAGCCGGGCGUGGUGGCACACGCCUUUAAUCCCAGCACUUGGAAGGCAGAGGGAGGCGGUUCGAGGCCAGCCUGGUCUACAAAGUGAGUUCCAGGACAGCCAGGGCUAUAGAGAGAAAUCCUGUCUUGGAAAAACC